rnacentral:lncRNA from 1 species
GCAGCGGGCAGUACUACCUGCUGGACGCCGCCCCGCAGCAGCCCCCCAAGCGGCNNNNNNNNNNGCCGCCGUCGCCACCGCAGCCCCGGCGGCCGUCGAGGCUCCACCAGCCACCCUCUUCCCUCCGCCGCUGCCGCCCUUCGCCGCGCCGCCGCCGCAGCUACUCUGCUUCUCGCCCUCCGUGCCCGCCGCCGAGCCCCUGCCGCAGCGCAGGGUGCUGCUGGACGUGAGCAGCGGGCAGUACUACCUGCUGGACGCCGCCCCGCAGCAGCCCCCCAAGCGGCGCCUCUUCGACCCCGAGACGGGGCAGUACGUCGAGGUGCCGGUGCCUGCGCCCGCCGUCGCCCCGCUGCCGCUGCCGCUGCCGCCCUUGGCCCUCAACGCCGGCGCCUACGGCACGGCCUACAUGCUCUACCCUGGCCUGCUGCCCGCCGCCGCCGUGCUGCCCGCUGCCGCCCUGCCGCGCCCGCUCUCCCAUCCAGGCAGCGAUGGCAGCGCGGCGGCCGAGCCCGGCAGCCCGGCGGUGGAGGCCGAGGGGCCUUAUUUCGUGCCCGGUGGCGAUGGCCCGGCUGCUGCCUCGACGGCGGCCUCGACGGUGGCGGCCAAGCCGCUGAUCAGCAUCACGGCGCCUGCCGGCGGCCCGCGGCUUGUGGCACCGCCGUCCUUCGACGGCACGACCAUGCGGCUGGUGGUGGAGCACCGGUAGGCGGCGGGGAGGGGGCCCACGGGGGUCCCCAGAGGAGGCCGGGGGCGAAGCGGUGCCCACACAGCAGCAGGAUUGUGCCCGCGGCCCCUUCUCGUCUUCCCCUGCGUGCAGCGUUGCCAUUCAGCUGCGUAACGCCCUUCUCCCGCGGCGGCUUUGUUUCUGCAUUUCUGUCUUUCUUUCCGCUCCUGUAUUUCACCCCGUAUUGUAUUUCAUCUCUGCCUUCCUUGCUUGUUUUCCUCCUUUCCCACAUCUUCCCUCACACACCGCGCCGCCGUGCCAGGGACUCGUCCCUCUCGGCCUUCGUCACCGGCUGGCUUUUGGCAGCACGGUUCUUGCCUGGGUCUCCUGCCACCCUUUUCCUUUCAGACAGAGGAAAACCAAAGAAAAAAAAACAAAGAAACAAACAAAAAGAUGCUGAUUUCCAGCUGUAG